AACGUCCCAGUUCGGAUUGUAGUCUGCAACUCGACUACAUGAAGCUGGAAUCGCUAGUAAUCGCGAAUCAGAAUGUCGCGGUGAAUACGUUCCCGGGUCUUGUACACACCGCCCGUCACACCAUGGGAGUCGGAAAUGCCCGAAGUCAGUGACCUAACCGAAAGGAAGGAGCUGCCGAAGGUGGAGCCGGUAACUGGGGUGAAGUCGUAACAAGGUACC
rnacentral:rRNA from 1 species